rnacentral:rRNA from 1 species
AAUAGAUACCCCGGUAGUCCACGCCGUAAACGAUGAGUGCUAAGUGUUAGAGGGUUUCCGCCCGUUUAGUGCUGCAGCUAACGCAUUAAGCACUCCGCCUGGGGAGUACGGCCGCAAGGCUGAAACUCAAAGGAAUUGACGGGGGCCCGCACAAGCGGUGGAGCAUGUGGUUUAAUUCGAAGCAACGCGAAGAACCUUACCAGGUCUUGACAUCCUCUGCCAACCCUAGAGAUAGGGCGUUCCCCUUCGGGGGACAGAGUGACAGGUGGUGCAUGGUUGUCGUCAGCUCGUGUCGUGAGAUGUUGGGUUAAGUCCCGCAGCGAGCGCAACCCUUGAUCUUAGUUGCCAGCAUUCAGUUGGGCACUCUAAGGUGACUGCCGGUGACAAACCGGAGGAAGGUGGGGAUGACGUCAAAUCAUCAUGCCCCUUAUGACCUGGGCUACACACGUGCUACAAUGGAUGGUACAAAGAGCUGCGAACCCGCGAGGGUAAGCCAAUCUCAUAAAGCCAUUCUCAGUUCGGAUUGU